rnacentral:lncRNA from 1 species
CCUGAGAGUUGAAAGAAGAAAAAGGGUGAUUGUGCUGAAUUGAUGAUAAGUAAGAAGUUAUUGAUUGGAGGGAUAGGGUUGUGUACAGAUCCUGUCUAUGUUGAGCUAAGUUGAAUAUCUUUUACUCCACUGAUUUAUUCGAGGCUUCGUAGUCACUUAUCCAAAUGUUUCAACACCUUAACCUUAAGCCACAUUUCAACCCUGAAAAGACCUUAUGAUUUAUGUAAUGCAUGUGAUCUAAGUGGUGACGAUUGAGAAAAUAUGCAAGCUUAUGGUAGAACAUUUUCAUUGGAAUGAUCUGAGCGAAACAGUACCCAAUCUUAUACACUUGAGAGUGAGUGAUCAUACUAUCUUGCGAGGUUCUACAUGUUCAGUUACUUUAUCUUCAUCUGAGAAUGCAUGCUAGUUGAGUAUUUUUGAUCGAUAAAGAAAAGAGUGUUUGAGAGCAACCUUUAGAUUUACACUUGGGAAAUGAAGUGGAAUAUCUGUAUUUGAGUGUGAAUCUUANN